rnacentral:lncRNA from 1 species
AUUAGAUUGAAUUGAUUAGGAUUUGUCUAGGAUUUGGUUUAGGAUUUAGGAUUUGUCUAAGAUUUGGUUCAUGGUUUAGGAUUUUUUUUAGGAUUUAGUUUAGGAUUUAGGAUUUUUUUAGGAUUUGAUUUAGAAUUUAUGAUUUUUUUAGGAUUUGGUUUAGGAUUUAGGAUUUGUCUGGGAUUUAAUUUAUAAUUUAGAAUUUGUUUAGGAUUUAAUUUAGGAUUUUUUUAGGAUUUGAUUUAUAAUUUAUAAUUUUUUUAGGAUUUAAUUUAGGAUUUGUCUAUGUUUUGAUUUAGGAUUUAGGAUUUGUCUAGGAUUUGAUUUAGGAUUAGGAUUUGAUUUAGGAUUUAGGAUUUGUCUAGGGUUUGAUUGAAGUCCAUUAGGAUUUCAACUAGGAUUAAAUUAGAAAUUGGCUGAAAUUUAUUUAAGAUAUAUUUGUGACUAUUCUAAUAUUUUUUUAGGAUUUCUUAAGGAUUCUUUUAAGGUUUAUUAUGGAUUUUCUUUGAAUUCUUUUAAGAUUUCUUAUUGUUUUUUUUGUAAUU